AAUUUUAACUUCCCAUUUCUUUUUUUGCACAUUAAAAGCUGUGGAUAGGGAGUAAUUGAACAGGAGAUAACCACAGUGAGCUGUUGGAUGAAGAGCUGCAGACAAGACGGCAGCAGUGAUGUUACGGAUGGCCGAAGCUAAAUGUGCUGCUGCACAGGAAGGUGUUUCUUCC